rnacentral:rRNA from 1 species
GACGAACGCUGGCGGCGUGCUUAACACAUGCAAGUCGAACGCUGAAGCUCAGCUUGCUGGGUGGAUGAGUGGCGAACGGGUGAGUAACACGUGAGUAACCUGCUCUCUUCUUUGGGAUAACGCCCGGAAACGGGUGUUAUUACUUGAUAUUCACUGAUUCUCGCUUGGGUGUUGGUGGGAAGGUUUUUUCUGGUGGUGGGUGGGGUCACCGCAUAUCAGCUUGUUGGUGGGGUGAUGGCGUAACAAGGCUUUGGCGGGUAGCGGGACUGAGCAGGUGCCCGGCAACAUUAGGACGGAGAUGCGGACAAGACUACGGCAGGCGGCAGCAGUGGGUAAUAAUGCACAAUGGGCGAAAGGCUGAUGCCGCGACGCGGCGAGGGGGAUGGUGGCCUUGGGUGUGUAAUGCUCUUUCGAUCAUGGUAAAGCCGGAGCUUUGGGUUGUGGUGAGGGUAGUGGGUAAAGAAGCGCGGGCUAACUACGU